UGCUUCCCUCUGCUGCGGGAGCUCGCAGAAGUUCAGCUGGGAAAACACCAGACUCGCCCCCGCAUUCAUCAGGCAGAUUCCUCCCACUCUCCGCCGCAGCCGGCGGCAAUCAACACCUGACACACCUGCCAUUGAUGAAGGAUGGCAGUAUAAGAAUGGUCGACGCAGACUCAUCGACGUCGGAACGUAAUAUCUACUACCCCGCUUGUGUCACUACUGCUGUUUCCUUUCUGGACCUGGUUUGCCUUCCCAAUCUUUGACCCUGUUUUGGACUUUUGGACCCUACCUCCUGCCUUUGAUCCCCGCUUGGACCUUGGACUUCCCCCGGCUUCUUCCCCCUUUUGGAUUUGGACGCUGGACAUCCAACACGCACCUCAACAAACCUCACGGUAUUUCAGAGCGUCGGGGAAACUUUUACACGUCAACAAACUGCGUGGUUGCUUGCUCUGUAUACCUGACAGCUGAUUCAUUCCCACAUGAGCAGGUAUGUUACCAUUGAUUGAAACUUUUAUUAGCGGAUUGUACAGUUCAGUACAUAUUCCGUACAAUUGACCACUAAAUGGUAACACCCAAAUAAGUGUUUCAACUUGUUUAAGUCCGGUUCACACUUCCUGCUUUAUUUAUGCUGUAGUUUGCCUGAUUUUUUUUAUGUACUAAAAAUUGUUUCUUUUUAUGCUCAUCAUUGCACUGCUGCAGUCCGAGCACACGGCAGAUUUUCUUGUAUUCAGAUGACGUGCUGCUAGGAUUAAAGAGGAGCAUUUAAAACACAAAAUUUAAUUUCUAAUCGUUGCAUGCUGUGUGUUUAAACAUUUCAGCAUAUUGCUCGCAUGUCCUCUUGAUGAACAAGCAGUCUUAUCAUUUUUACAUAGUUAUUACAAGUAGCGCUGUUGCAAUCUUUUCUUGCAAAAUAUAAAGUUGAAGUACCAAUGAUUGUCACACACACACUAGGUGUGGUGAAAUUUGUCCUCUGCAUUUGACCCUUGUUCACCCCCUGGGAGGUGAGGGGAGCAGUGGGGAGCAGCGGUGGCCGCGCCCGGGAAUCUUUUUUGGUGAUGUAGUCUCUAAAUGUAGUUUUUUGUGCUUGAGCGCCGCCAUUUUUAGAUCUGACGACGCUCCGCGAUGUCAUCCCCACCUUUAGAUCAAUAACAGAACCAUCUGAAUAAAUGGCAACAAGCGAUUCUAAGGAAUUGAUACAGUGGGAACUUGUUAUAAACAAGAACCGAUUUUCGAUUCCCAUCCCUACUUAUCAUAACCUGACUCACUGAGCUCCACACAAGGAUCAGAGCUCGAGGGUAAUGCAAACUCCUUCAAGAUAGCAAAAAAUAAUGAACCAAUCAGGAUCGCCGGGCGGUAUUUCAUGGAUGUGACAUAGCGCCAAAGCGACUGUUUGAUUCAAACAACAAUGGCGGCACGCAGCAUAUUUUCUUUGCACAAAAAACAUCGAUCGUCCACUGAGAUUGUUGCAUUGUUUCAGUAAAAGUUGUCUAACUUUUCGCUCUGUCAUUAUCCAAUUUGUCGGCUGUUCUGUUUUGGAUUUUCCAGCGACGCUCUCAUCAGCGUCACAGGUUGAUUUCGAUGUGAGUAAUUGAAGUAGAACGUCAUUCAAGAUAACGGAAAAGUGGUUUAUCCAGUCACAUACAAUGAUUUUUUUUUUACAAGGCCCCGCCUUCUGAAAUAUAUCUCCUAUUGAUAAGUCCCAGAUCCUUGUGUGGAGCUCAGCGAUCUACAAAGAUCUGGCGAGAGUCAGGUUAUACUCAUCAGGGUCUCAAAUAAAGUUCCGCUGUAGAAUUCCAACUGUUCCGAGGAGUAGAGGGAAAUUCCGUUAUGUACAUCAUUGCUUCUCCAACUGUGAAAAGCGUAGCACUAAUGCAUAUCUUUCCAACUGGUGGCCCGCGGGCCACACCCGGCCCGCCAA